AGUGAACGCUGGCGGUAGGCCUAACACAUGCAAGUCGAACGGCAGCACAGUAAGAGCUUGCUCUUACGGGUGGCGAGUGGCGGACGGGUGAGGAAUACAUCGGAAUCUACUUUUUCGUGGGGGAUAACGUAGGGAAACUUACGCUAAUACCGCAUACGACCUACGGGUGAAAGCAGGGGAUCUUCGGACCUUGCGCGAUUGAAUGAGCCGAUGUCGGAUUAGCUAGUUGGCGGGGUAAAGGCCCACCAAGGCGACGAUCCGUAGCUGGUCUGAGAGGAUGAUCAGCCACACUGAAACUGAGACACGGUCCAAACUCCUACGGGAGGCAGCGGUGGGAAAUAUUGGACAAUGGGCGCAAGCCUGAUCCAGCCAUACCGCGUGGGUGAAGAAGGCCUUCGGGUUGUAAAGCCCUUUUGUUGGGAAAGAAAAGCAGCAGGUUAAUACCCCGCUGUUCUGACGGUACCAAAAGAAUAAGCACCGGCUAACUUCGU
rnacentral:rRNA from 1 species